rnacentral:rRNA from 1 species
CAGUAGCCGCGGGAAUACGUAGGUGGCAAGCGUUGUCCGGAAUUAUUGGGCGUAAAGGGCUCGCAGGCGGUUUCUUAAGUCUGAUGUGAAAGCCCCCGGCUCAACCGGGGAGGGUCAUUGGAAACUGGGAAACUUGAGUGCAGAAGAGGAGAGUGGAAUUCCACGUGUAGCGGUGAAAUGCGUAGAGAUGUGGAGGAACACCAGUGGCGAAGGCGACUCUCUGGUCUGUAACUGACGCUGAGGAGCGAAAGCGUGGGGAGCGAACAGGAUUAGAGACCCCGGUAGUCCCUGUCUCUUAUAU